CAAGUGCUUCAGUGUCGCAUACCCCCUAUAACAACUGUUGUGGUCUCUCCACUGUCCCCGAGUUAUGGAUGAGGAAACAGAGGCUAAGAGUAGCUGAGGGCUUGACCUAGGGUGAGACCCGAACACAGGCACCCUGACCUCAGAGACCCUCUGUACACUCAGCUCUAUCGCCCGCCUUUUUCCAGGUAGCCCUGAAUUAAUAAGCAAAAAACUUAAUCGGGUACUUAUCCAUCUCACUACCCUUCCCUGCCAACAUUCUUUGCUAAUAUCCCCUUCUCUACAUACAGUGCUUUACACACUCGGCAGGUACAGCUCCGUGCGGACAGCCCACUGCGUGCGAGCAGGAGCCUGCCGUGUGGUCCGUUUAGGCUGGCAAAAUACAGACAGCUCUCCCUUUUCCGGUAACUUCUGGGGUUGGCUUUCUUUGCCCCAGGUCCACAGUGUCCGAUUCAUGGAGUUCUCGGAAGUGGAGAACCAGGACGACUACUACAGCAUGGAGGCUGCGUCCGUCUACACACAGGACCCGCACGGGGUACAUAUCAUGUACGAUGAAGCCUUGAGCGAUCUGAAGGAGCUCGAGGAAGAGCUGCUGCUUGUGGCCAGCCAUUACAUCGAGAAAGAAAAAGGUCACGAAGAGGGCAGCGAGUCAAAUACUGGCCAGGACUGGGGACGGGCCCAUGCAAGUGUGGACAGAUUUGCUGUGCUGUAUGACAUGUGGACUUGGGAAGCAGCCCUUCUAGAAAACAAGCGCCAGCUUCUUGACAGUUACUUCGAAGCCUACCAGCAUGUGUUGGACCCUGAGGAGAGGUUUGCCUUAGCACAAGUGAUCACUGACCUAAUGCACAGACGCCCGAGGUUUGAUCUCAGCCGCCCUUAUUUCCUUAAGGCCUACCGAGAUGAGGGCACCUGCCUGAGGCUUCACUUGGAGCUAGUGAGGGGCAUCCUCAAUCAGCACGUAAGUACUUUUGGGUUUUAAAAUAUCACAUAUGGGAAGAUGAUGGAAAACCCAGGCCAGAACCCAAAAGUGUUUUCCUUUCAUCGCGUGUUCAGAAUCCAGGUUUUCUAAGGCAGCGCGUGCGGCGUGUUUAUUUGAAAGCUCAUUUGCAUUGUUGAAUUCCAAGCAUA
rnacentral:lncRNA from 1 species